GUAGCUGUCGUGCACCUCCCGCAGGCGUGGCGGGGGCGCGGCGGGGCCGGUGGCGCGGGAGCGGAAAUGCAUGGCUGAAUACCUUAGGGACCAUCAACCCCCGGUGGUGUCGUUUCCAGUGAAAACCGAACUCCGGGAUGUAGCCGGAUUGGAGAGAAGAGAGUGACACGUGCGCCCCCUUCCUGCGGCGGAUGGAUGAACGGGUGAUUGUGAACAUCUGGUGAGAGAAUGGAUGUGAAGGUCUUUUAGUAACAUUAGAACACUACAAAAAUCACACAUCUGAGUGCAAACACUUCUGAGGCUCAACAGGUCUGAAGUAACCAUGGUCUUCGGUUUACUUCUCCUACCUAUACAUUGCUGGACAGCUCUUCUUCUACUGGCCCGAUUUUGCUAUUGGAGCAUAAUUUCCCAUGAUAAAGUUGAAGGAAAUGAUCAGCUUCUCUGCCUGAUGUGUCUAUGAAUCCUUAGUCUAAUUCUAGAACACACCUUGCCAUACAUGCCAUUUCCCCUGACAAAAAUAAUGUUUACAUUGUAGGGUCCCUAGGGGCAGACAGAGAUCACUGAGCAGCAGCUAGAAAGUAACUAAGACUUUGGAGCUCCUCCAGUGACCCACAUUCUGCGUGAGGCCCACUGGGUUCUCACCAGCACCCCCCGAGGUGGGCAUGUCAGCUGUG